rnacentral:sRNA from 1 species
GGGUGUGAGAGUGAUCUGGCUGCCACAUCUGUCACCUCAUUGAUUGCCAGGCUGGCUGCAUUAGUGCUGGAUGGCUAGGCUGGAGUUUCCUUUCUCCCUUACCUUUCCAUUGCAUCUCUUCUUGAGUUGCAUGCUGUCAAAGAAGACAUCCUUUUCUAACAGGGUGGACCAUUCUUCAGAGAAGAGCAUGCUUACUAUCAGGUAAUAACCCCACUUGUAAGGGCCAGCUGUGGUGUCGUGGUGAAG